GCACGUGACAAAACUUGUCAAGUGACUUUACUUCACUUUGACUGCGAAUCCCGGCUCUGUUGUCCGUAAACAAGAAGACGGAAUCCCGGCUAGGAAGAAAAAUAGGUUUGUGUGCAUUGCCCAACACAAAAUGCUUAAGAAAACUCUACUCUCGGUAAAACAACAAAAGGAGGGGCAAAAAGGAAAAAUCAGUCGCGGCUUGGCUUCUCCAACUUGUUGCGCCUUUGGCUAAAUUAUGACAUCGAGAGUUUCUGGACAUGGGAAGCCCUUGGAGACGCACUGAAGUAUUUUUGGAGGAGCCAUGGAGUGGAAUUUCAUGGGACACACAAACAAUCAGGAGCGGGUUUAUGAAUUAAAAUUCUUCAAAAGAAACAAAUAAGAGGUCCAAGAUUGAUAUUAGAUAAAGUUUAGGAAAGUAUUCCAAAAGCAGGCCAUGCAAUACAGCAUAGGAGGCCAUGAAAUCAAAGUUAAAACUGUGGAACAUAGUUGACCAAGCGAGUGGGUUGAGCUCAUUCUCGUUUCGGUUCUCUAACAGCAAACAUCUAUUUGGAAGACUACCAAAUUUCUGGGACUGAAAAUCCUACUUCCGUAAUCAGGCUAAUAGAAUAAAAUGUGCAAUCCAGGAAUGUGUUCAAUGCCCGGCACUUGCUGUGGACCGACUGGCGGACUGGGACCCUGUUUGCUCUGCGGACCCUAUAAUGGCCAGUGGUUCCGCUCGAUCAACCACUGCUGUGGUCCCUGUGGACCAUAUGGAUGCUGCUCCUGCUACGGGCCCCAUGGAGGACAUUGUUAGCCUGCUUAGAAGGAAUGUAGGGUUUCUUUAUCCGCGAUCUGGAACAGGAGCUUGAAGGAGUACAACCGCGAGGAGGCAUUCUACAGAGAUGUCAAGCGAGGUGGAUCCGAAAAUUUGUGUUUAAUGAAAUAUGGUUGGGAUAUUAUUCCAUCAGCAAUAGAUGUUAAUAAAUUAUUCGUAUAUCUCAAAA